UGGUUAGAAGCAUGGUGCAUCGA
rnacentral:siRNA from 1 species